GGGCGUAAGGGCUCGUAGGUGGUUGAUCGCGUCGGAAGUGUAAUCUUGGGGCUUAACCCUGAGCGUGCUUUCGAUACGGGUUGACUUGAGGAAGGUAGGGGAGAAUGGAAUUCCUGGUGGAGCGGUGGAAUGCGCAGAUAUCAGGAGGAACACCAGUGGCGAAGGCGGUUCUCUGGGCCUUUCCUGACGCUGAGGAGCGAAAGCGUGGGGAGCGAACAGGCUUAGAUACCCUGGUAGUCCACGCUGUGAACGGCGGGUACUAGGUGUGGGGUCCAUUCCACGGGUUCCGUGCCGUAGCUAACGCUUUAAGUACCCCGCCUGGGGAGUACGGCCGCAAGGCUAAAACUCAAAGGAAUUGACGGGGCCCCGCACAAGCGGCGGAGCAUGCGGAUUAAUUCGAUGCAACGCGUAGAACCUUACCUGGGUUUGACAUGGAUCGGGAGCGCUCAGAGAUGGGUGUGCCUCUUUUGGGGUCGGUUCACAGGUGGUGCAUGGCUGUCGUCAGCUCGUGUCGUGAGAUGUUGGGUUAAGUCCCGCAACGAGCGCAACCCUUGUUCACUGUUGCCAGCACGUUAUGGUGGGGACUCAGUGGAGACCGCCGGGGUCAACUCGGAGGAAGGU
rnacentral:rRNA from 1 species